UACAGAGGUCUCAAGCGUUGUUCGGAUUCAUUGGGCGUAAAGGGUGCGUAGGUGGCAUGGUUAGUCGGGUGUGAAAUCCCGGGGCUCAACCCCGGAACUGCACUCGAUACUGCCGUGCUGGAGUACUGGAGAGGAGACUGGAAUUUACGGUGUAGCAGUGAAAUGCGUAGAUAUCGUAAGGAAGACCGGUGGCGAAAGCUAGUCUCUGGACAGUCACUGACACUGAGGCACGAAGGCCAGGGGAGCAAACGGG
rnacentral:rRNA from 1 species